UAAUUAGGUCUUAUAUUCAUUAAAUGAUAUUAAAUUGCAAAUUUAAAGGAGUAAUUUUUUUUACUAAGACUU
rnacentral:tRNA from 1 species